rnacentral:rRNA from 1 species
GACGAACGCUGGCGGCGUGCUUAACACAUGCAAGUCGAACGGAAAGGCCUUUUCGGAGGUACUCGAGUGGCGAACGGGUGAGUAACACGUGGGUGAUCUGCCCUGCACUCUGGGAUAAGCCUGGGAAACUGGGUCUAAUACCGGAUAGGACCGCACUUUAGUGUGUGUGGUGGAAAGUUUUUUCGGUGUAGGAUGAGCCCGCGGCCUAUCAGCUUGUUGGUGGGGUAAUGGCCUACCAAGGCGGCGACGGGUAGCCGGACUGAGAGGUUGGUCGGCCACAUUGGGGCUGGGAUGGGGGCCAGACUCCUACGGGAGGCAACAGUGGGGGAUAUUGCACAAUGGGGGCAAGCCUGGUGCAGCGACGCCGCGUGGGGGAUGACGGCCUUCGGGUUGUAAACUCCUUUCGCCAGGGACGAAGCGUUUUGUGACGGUACCUGGAGAAGAAGCACCGGCUAACUACGUG